rnacentral:lncRNA from 1 species
GAUUUUUCCAGAGCUGGGAAUUGUGUCACCCCCUGCUAGGCAGCUGUCCCCUUGUCCCCAGAGCUGUCAAACCCUUCUGGAUAACCCAAAGCUCUUCCCUCUCCACCCUGGGGACACCCUGCUCCUGCUUGUGUCACAUUCCCUGGUGGCAUCUCAUGUCCCCAGGGUCCCCAAGCUCAGCUCUGCUCCUCACCUCCCCAAAAACCCCACCAGGAUUUUCCCAGAGCUGCUGGAGGUUUCCCAGCCCGUUCAAGUGCCCCUCCAGCCACUUUUUGGAAUUAAGAAAUAAAAAGCAAAUCCAUCCUAGUGAUACAAGAUUGAUUAGAUGCCAUAGGUGCUGGGUGCUUUUCUAGCUUGUGGUGGUUUUUCUUAAUUCCCUUAAACCAAAAUUGAUUUAUAUGCUGUAGUUCAUGUAUUUUAUAUAUUUUUUUCCCCCCUGCAGUGAGAAUUACUGCUACAGCUUUUUUUUUGCUCAGGAUAAUAUUUUUAUAUUUGCCCCCUGGACAGAUGGAUCACAUCCAGGGCUGGAGAACCAUUCCAUGAUCUCCCUGAGGGGAUUUUCCCUCUCCAUGGACAAGCUGAGGGGUUCAGUCCAUGCAGUGCAGGGGGAGAAAUGGAAAUAAGAGCCCUCAAAUGCUGAAAACCAAGACCCAACAGCUCCUUUUCACAAUUUGCUCUAUUCAAGCAGCUUUGGAAUGGCUUCCCCUCUCUUUUUCCUGCUUGCAGCCCCUUGCUGAGGGAGGUCCCACCUCAAAACUCCUUCCUGGCUCAUCCCUUUGCAAAGACUCCUGGCUUUUAACCCGCACCUCACCCAAAGCGCCUGGGGCUGAAUGUUGGUUGUCCAGAGCACUUAAAAUGUCACUUUAUGAUGAUUUUUAAUUUUUUUUCCCCAUAAAGACCAGAGGGGGAAUGGGCGGGCACGGUAAAGCAGGAUGUGACAAAAAGGAUGUGAAAAAAGGGAUGGAAUUGCUGGGAAAAGCACUGAGGGCUUUGAGCAAGUCCAGUAAAACCUUGCACCACCUCCUUUUUAUGCUCCAAAACAUGGAAAUAUUUUCCUUUUCCUCCUCAGCUUGGAUGUUAAAUCCCUCCACCCCUGUGUGGUGCCAGCUGGACCCUGCUGAGGCCACCCCUGUCCCCUCCUUGCUCCCCUUGCCCUCCCAGCCCAAAUUCCCACAGGAAUGGAGCUGCUCCCUGCUCCUGGAGACACCAGAACCCCCCUGGGAUCCCCAUUUCCGCCCCAGGAUGGGGCUCAGGGGGUUCUGGAACCUUCCCUGUGCUUCUCAAGGGGUUCCAGCCAGGCUUUGGGGUGUGCAGGAACUGUUUGUGUCCAGUCUUGGUCAGCAAAGCCCCAGGGAUUAUGAUGAUGAUGAUGAUGAUGAUGAUGAUGAUGAUGAUGGUGAUUCCUCCUCAGGACAGGUGAUGUAAACGAGGCCCCUCACGUGUGCACCACGCUGCAGAAAUAAAAAAUAAAGGAGAAAGCUCCA